rnacentral:rRNA from 1 species
AACGAACGCUGGCGGCAGGCUUAACACAUGCAAGUCGAACGGGCGUAGCAACACGUCAGUGGCGGACGGGUGAGUAACACGUGGGAAUAUGCCUUUCGGUUCGGAACAACUCGGGGAAACCCGUGCUAAUUCCGGAUACGCCCUUACGGGGAAAGAUUUAUCGCCGAAAGAUUAGCCCGCGUUGGAUUAGCUAGUUGGUGAGGUAAAGGCUCACCAAGGCGACGAUCCAUAGCUGGUUUGAGAGAACGACCAGCCACACUGGGACUGAGACACGGCCCAGACUCCUACGGGAGGCAGCAGUGGGGAAUCUUGGACAAUGGGCGCAAGCCUGAUCCAGCCAUGCCGCGUGAGUGAUGAAGG